rnacentral:rRNA from 1 species
GAUGGCGACCGGCGCACGGGUGAGUAACACGUAUCCAACCUGCCGAUGACUCGGGGGAUAGCCUUUCGAAAGAAAGAUUAAUACCCGAUGGCAUAGUUCUUCCGCAUGGUAGAACUAUUAAAGGAUUUCGGUCAUCGAUGGGGAUGCGUUCCAUUAGGUUGUUGGCGGGGUAACGGCCCACCAAGCCUUCGAUGGAUAGGGGUUCUGAGAGGAAGGGUCCCCCACAUUGGAACUGAGACACGGUCCAAACUCCUACGGGAGGCAGCAUG